rnacentral:rRNA from 1 species
ACUCCUCGGGAGGCAGCAGUCGAGAAUAUUCCACAAUGGGCGAAAGCCUGAUGGAGCGACGCCGCGUGCAGGAAGACGCCCUUCGGGGUGUAAACUGCUUUUCUAUAAGAAAAACUUUUGUGAUUGUAUUAUGGGAAUAAGGGGCGGCAAGCUUCGUGCCAGCAGCAGCGGCAAUACGAAGGCCCCGAGCGUUAUCCGGAUUUAUUGGGCGUAAAGCGUGCGUAGGAGGUUCGGUAAGUCUGUUGUUAAAUUUCACUGCUCAACGGUGGAGCUGCAAUUGAUACUAUCGAACUAGAGUGUGCGAGAGGCUAGUAGAACUCACAGUGUAGGGGUGAAAUCCGUUGAUAUUGUGGGGAAUACCAAAGGCGAAGGCAUCUAGCUGGCGCAUUACUGACUCUGAGGUACGAAAGCGUGGGGAGCAAAAAGGAUUAGAUACCCUUGUAGUCCACGCCCUAAACUAUGUCGACUAGCUAUUUCGAGUAUCGACCCUCGGAGUGGCGAAGCUAACGCAUUAAGUCGACCGCCUGGGAAGUACGGCCACAAGGCUAAAACUCAAAGGAAUAGACGGGGACUCGCACAAGCGGUGGAGCAUGAGGUUUAAUUCGACAAUAAACGAAGAACCUUACCAAGGUUAGAAAUCCAGACGAAAACUUUCCGAAAGGUUAGUUGUCUCUCAAGGACGGCUGGACAGGUGCUGCAUGGUUGUCGUCAGCUCGUGUUUUGAAAUGUUCCCUUAAGUGGGGUAACGAGCGCAACCCCUAUCCUACGUUUUAAGUGUCAUAGGANCUGCCCUCCUUUUGGGGGGAGGAANGCGGGNUGACGUCAAAUCAGCAUGGCCCUCUGAUACCUU